rnacentral:rRNA from 1 species
UACGUAGGUGGCAAGCGUUGUCCGGAUUUAUUGGGUUAAAGGGUGCGUAGGCGGUCCUAUAAGUCAGUUGUGAAAUACGGCAGCUUAACUGUCGAGGUGCAAUUGAUACUGCAGGACUUGAGUACAGACGAGGUAGGCGGAAUUGACGGUGUAGCGGUGAAAUGCUUAGAUAUCGUCAAGAACACCGAUAGCGAAGGCAGCUUACUAGACUGUAACUGACGCUGAUGCACGAAAGUGUGGGGAUCAAACAGG